AUGCUCGCUUCGGCAGCACAUAUACUAAAAUUGGAACGAUACAGAGAAGAUUAGCAUGGCCCCUGCGCGAGGAUGACACCCAAAUUCGUGAAACGGAAUAAGUCCUC
rnacentral:snRNA from 1 species